GAGAUAAUCGAAUUGGAUACCGUCGAGGAAGCAUAACUCUUAUAAGUCCUCGUAUACUUUACCACCCGAGUCACCCACGUAUCUCUUGUAUUCUAUUGACCAAGAUUGGGCCGAGCAAGAGUCUCUUCUAUAAAUAGACCGCACCAAAUGUUCCACUACUCUGUCACACUCUUCCAUCUUUCUCUCUAUCUUGCUAAGAUUCUUUCUAGAAUUCUACCGGCAAACAGUAGUAAUGUCUUCUUUAGCGUCUAAAACCCAAUCUACGCUCUCAAAAUCUGAAAAAAUCACAAGCAACACCAGCACUGCCACUAAAGAUCAAGAAGACCCAGAAAUCUUCAACUCCGUGACUAGCUUUGUCUAUAUAAAACCAGUACACUCCACUAAAACACGAGAUAAGGAGGAGGUUUUGCAGAGGAUACGACAACGCAAGGGCGCGAACAAGGUACGAGGUAGUCUGCAAGGUUUUCUUGGAUGGUUGUUUUCGUCGAAAAGUGAGAAUAAGGUCUCUGCCAAGUGGGUGGAUGAUGCUUUUGCUGCCCCAUGAUUCCUACUAUCAAAAUAAAUAGUAGUUAUUUCAGGUUUUACAGUAGAGGAAUUGAUGUUCUUUGUGGAUAGAAUCGCGAGGGACUAGUGGUGUUUUGCGAAUUGAUAGUCAGAGUUGUUAGGCAAAUCAAAGAUCAUGUCGCUUAAUUUGUACAGGAAUCCAAUUCCUCCGUCUUCUCUUAAUUUUACGGGUUUUUUUUUUUUUC